AUUAGGGUUGAGAAAGGGGCGACGAUUCAUCUUCCAUACUCAGACUCUCCUUCUUCUUCUCUCGCCCACGAAACGGCGGCGGCGGCGCAACCUUCACCUAAGAAACCUAACGGCGCGCCACCUGGAAAUAAUCAAAGCCCCACCUCCCUCGCACCUUUCACCUCCAAAUUCAAACCUAAUCUCAAUCGAUUUCACUUUGCUAGCCCUCUUUCUACGCAAGAAUCUGAAAACCCUACGUCUACAAAGUUCAUGAAACAUCACAUGCUAUGAUUAGGUGAGAAGAAGGUAAGAGGAACCUGAUUGAAGUCCGAUGAAGAAAACAGAAGGCUUAGAAAUUCCGCGCUUGCCGUUGUGCGAAAUAAACUCGAUAAGCAGAAGAUUUUUUCAGGGCUUCUAGGUGAUAAUUUGGGAUACUCGAAUUUGAUGUGUAAACUGAAUACAGAACUAUUGCAUUGGUUUGUUAGAAGUGCAGACUGGUUUAAUGGCAAAGGGCACUGUAUUGGCUGCAGUGACAUAGCCUGCCCGGUUCAAGUUUCAAUCUGCACGAUGGCAUGAAGAAAUUUCGAAGAAGCUUUGAAGACGUAUGCUGAAGCUUUUUAGGAGUAGGCUUUUUCUUUUGUAGCUUUUGUAACUUCAAAAAAGUUUUAAUCACUUUUUCCUUGUAAUGGCUCCCUUUUUCUUGUAACUUAGAUUUAGAUCUCAACUGUUAGGGUGGAUUCGGUUUGAAUCGAAGUGGUGUGGAAGGUUUGAAUUUCUGUAUGGUAAAUGAUAAUUGGGAUAGAACAAAUGUGUAGAUUCUUGAAUUUAAAUUUUGAAUGGAUUUGAAUUAACAGCCUUGAACUCAAAAUAA